rnacentral:rRNA from 1 species
UACGUAGGGCGCAAGCGUUAUCCGGAAUUAUUGGGCGUAAAGAGCUCGUAGGCGGUUUGUCGCGUCUGCUGUGAAAACCCGAGGCUCAACCUCGGGCCUGCAGUGGGUACGGGCAGACUAGAGUGCGGUAGGGGAGAUUGGAAUUCCUGGUGUAGCGGUGGAAUGCGCAGAUAUCAGGAGGAACACCGAUGGCGAAGGCAGAUCUCUGGGCCGUAACUGACGCUGAGGAGCGAAAGCGUGGGGAGCAAACAGG